rnacentral:rRNA from 1 species
GAUGAACGCUGGCGGCGUGCCUAAUACAUGCAAGUCGAGCGAACGGACGAGAAGCUUGCUUUUCUGAUGUUAGCGGCGGACGGGUGAGUAACACGUGGAUAACCUACCUAUAAGACUGGGAUAACUUCGGGAAACCGGUGCUAAUACCGGAUAAUAUUUUGAACCGCAUGGUUCAAAAGUGAAAGACGGUCUUGCUGUCACUUAUAGAUGGAUCCGCGCUGCAUUAGCUAGUUGGUAAGGUAACGGCUUACCAAGGCAACGAUGCAUAGCCGACCUGAGAGGGUGAUCGGCCACACGGGAACUGAGACACGGUCCAGAGUCCUACGGGAGGCAGCAGUAGGGAAUCGGCCGCAAUGGGCGAAAGCCUGACGGAGCAACGCCGCGUGAGUGAUGAAGGUCUUCGGAUCGUAAAACUCUGUUAUGAGGGAAGAACAGAUGUGUAAGUAACUGUGCACAUCGUGACGGUACCUAAUCAGAAAGCCACGGCUAACUACGUG